AUUGAACGCUGGCGGAAUGCUUUACACAUGCAAGUCGAACGGCGGCACGGACUUCGGUCUGGUGGCGAGUGGCGAACGGGUGAGUAAUACAUCGGAACGUGCCCAGUCGUGGGGGAUAACGUAGCGAAAGCUACGCUAAUACCGCAUACGAUCUAAGGAUGAAAGCGGGGGAUCGCAAGACCUCGCGCGAUUGGAGCGGCCGAUGGCAGAUUAGGUAGUUGGUAGGGUAAAGGCCUACCAAGCCGACGAUCUGUAGCUGGUCUGAGAGGAUGAUCAGCCACACUGGGACUGAGACACGGCCCAGACUACUACGGGAGGCAGCAGUGGGGAAUUUUGGACAAUGGGCGCAAGCCUGAUCCAGCCAUUCCGCGUGCAGGAUGAAAGCCUUCGGGUUGUAAACUGCUUUUGUACAGAACGAAAAGGCUCUGGUUAAUACCCGGGGCUCAUGACGGUACUGUAAGAAUAAGCACCGGCUAACUACGUGCCAGCCGCCGCUGUAA
rnacentral:rRNA from 1 species